rnacentral:tRNA from 1 species
CGCCGGCUUCGAUGCCGACGAUCUUGACGCUGCGGUCGUCGAGGAACGGAUGGAACAGGCCGAUGGCGUUCGAGCCGCCGCCGACGGC